CAUUAAGAAGCUAAUAAGUAGCAACAGCCUUUUAAGCUGUAGACUGGUGACCCCUAACCACCCUUAGUGG
rnacentral:tRNA from 1 species